UCCCGUUUAGCUCAGUUGGUAGAGCGCGUCACUAGUACCUGGACCCCGGUCUGUAGGGCAAUGACGAGGUCAGUCGUUCGAGUCGGCUAAUGGGAA